AGAUGCUAAGUAAAUAUCAAGGAUAUGCAAUAUGGUUCCUUAGCACCCGAUUAUUUUUAAUAGAAUGUUCACAUGAACAUGAUGAACCAAUUAACUUAGAAAGUCAUUGUUUAAGGAGUACAAGUCUUAGUCUAACACAAAAAGAAACACCCACAUGCACUCUAUUUUUUUAGUAUAUACAGCAUACCAAAUAAGCUACUCAUUAAAUCUCUAUCCUAAGUUUAAUAUCUAAAUCUUGGUCCAUCCCUUCUCUGAUAAUAUGGGUCCAUCAAAAUGUAUAGCUAGUCACGAAUAGGAUGCUUAAAAUUGGUGGCUUCAACUUGAGAUAAUCAGCAUUAUAUGUGGAUUUUACCUUAUUAGCUAUGUCAUAUAUUUAUUUACCAUCAACUAACUCGGAUCAUUAAUGCUAGAAUAAGCCUUAAUGUUGCACUAAUUGAUGUUGAUAUUUUUCAUUUCCUUUCCUAGUUGUAGAAAGUGGGAAAAGGGUUAUACAAGAGAAAAGCUAGGGAAAUACUUCGUAGCUUAUAACCAACAAAAGAAAAAGAAGAAUUGUUCUAAUUCCUCCAACCUUUAUGUUCUCCUUAAUCUAGGGAGCCAAAUUAGCAAUUGUAUAAGAAUCGGGAUCUGGUGAGAACCACCCCUUAAGAUGAGAACUGAGAACCAAUCUCAGCCAUCAGAUCAGUUUAAUCAACGGCCCACAUCUCGUCCGACCAAAUCAGAAAAUAAGGACAAUAGAGUAAUUUCACCACCUUUGAAUGACUUCCCCUUUCUUCCCCAUUUUCAGAUUUUCUUUCUCUCUCUUCUUCCCGUUUUCUCUCUCUUCUUCAGCAAAUCCUCUGUAAGAGCUACGAUUCGCAUCUCCAACAUCUUCGAUUAUCAUCCUGCAAAUAUUCCUUCAUACUAUUUGCGAUUUUCCUCUCUCUCAAUUCACGCACGCAGGGUGCUUUGUUAGGGCUCUUGUUUAUGCAUGAAGUCAAGGAGGGAGUUUACUGAUAGCAGGUGGUUUCCAGAUUAUUAGAGAUUUGGUGAAUGUUGGUUAACUAGUACAGAUGAUGCGAUGUAUAUGAUAGAGUACAGUGGCCUGACGGUUCCAAACUCAUAAUCAAGGUAAGUAAUUGAUUUGUGUUCUAUCUAAGUUACAAUGGAUAUUCGUGCUUGUGUGUCAAAGACUGUCAACCUCGUGAUUAUGUCAUUGUUAUUUACUUUAAGAGCAUGUUUGGUUAGGUUGUUUUGAUGCUUGGAAACGGAAUAAGAUAAACAAUUUUGUGUGAUUUAUGGACAAUUUUGUGUGAUUGUAGACUCCCAACUCCAAAUUCUCAGGUCUAGCUUAAUCUAACUUAAUGAUCCUUAGAUCAAUCCAGCUUUGAAGAUAAGAGACUUCCUGAGAUUAGCAGUGUUUUAUUUUCUACAAUCAUUUGCAGUCAUUGCGGACACAUCUCCAUUCAGGGGUCAUGACUAUUCUGAAUAUCAAAUUUUAAUAGCUAGCACAAACAACUGUUAAAGAAAGAUAUUUACCUGGUAAAUUGAGCAUUAGUUGGAUACAAUUAUGCAAAUAAAAGCUUGCACGUUUUCAUUGAAUAAACAAACAAGGGUUAGAUGACUAAAGUUGUUUGACCACUUCUAAUUCCCAUCUUCUAAGGGUUAGGAAAUUUGAUCAUAUCUGAUUCUGAAAAGUCAUACGCAGAUGUCAUCCUUGCAUAUUCUUGGCAUAUCAGCAUAUGCCUUCUAAUCCUCAUUGAUGGAUUGCCAACAGUGAGUCUAGAGACCACUUAACAUCAGAAAAAUGGGAGAUACCUAAAAUUCUAGUUUAGUGUUCUUCUUGUUGCAGUAGCUGUCAUGUUUACAUAGUUGAUGAAGCCUUUAAUAUGGUCAUCUAGGCAGCCGCGUUUCAGUUGGCUUGUUGUUCAGUCGGCUGGUUGCUGCAGGUCGGUUACUUUUGAGUAUUUUUAAUUUACUUUUGAGUAUUUUUAAUUUACUUUUGAGUUAAUACUCCCUAGUCCCUAUUAUUUACUUCUGAAUUUUUUAUGUUCUUCUCUAUGUUGUAGCAGUCUUGUUUGCAAACGUGGUUUUAGUUCUAUUAGAGGCAGCCUUUAUUCUGACCAGCUACGCACCCACAUUCAGAUCUGCUGGUUGUGCAGGUCUGUCGGCAGUAGCUAAUUGCUGCAUACCUGAUUCAGGAUGUUCGAAGCUGAAGUCAACUUUUCAAGGUUGAAUUUUGUAGCAGGUCGUUACAUGUUUGUUUUUUCUGCUGGCUUUUUUUGUGCUUCUGAGAAGUUCAUGCAAUUUGAGCUAUUAGUUUUUAAGAAAAUGCAAUUUGAGCUAUUAGUUUUUAAGAAAAUAUUUAAGGAAAAACACUA